rnacentral:rRNA from 1 species
AACGCUAGCUACAGGCUUAACACAUGCAAGUCGCGGGGUAACAUCUGGGAGAGCUUGCUCUUCCAGGAUGACGACCGGCGCACAGGUGAGUAACGCGUAUCCAACCUGGCCCAUACCACGGGAUAGCCCGUCGAAAGGCGGAUUAAUACCGUAUGCUGUCAUCAAGAUGCAUAUAUUGAUGACGAAAGGACUGGCGGUAUGGGAUGGGGAUGCGUCUGAUUAGCUUGUUGGCGGGGUAACGGCCCACCAAGGCGACGAUCAGUAGGGGUUCUGAGAGGAAGGUCCCCCACAUUGGAACUGAGACACGGUCCAAACUCCUACGGGAGGCAGCAGUGAGGAAUAUUGGUCAAUGGGCGCAAGCCUGAACCAGCCAAGUAGCGUGAGGGAAGACUGCCCUACGGGUUGUAAACCUCUUUUGUUUGGGAAUAAAGUGCGGGACGUGUCCCGCAUUGCAUGUACCAUUUGAAUAAGGACCGGCUAAUUCCGUGCCAGCAGCCGCGGUAAUACGGAAGGUCCGGGCGUUAUCCGGAUUUAUUGGGUUUAAAGGGAGCGCAGGCCGUGGGUUAAGCGUGUCGUGAAAUUCCGUCGCUCAACGGCGGACGUGCGGCGCGAACUGGUCCACUUGAGUACGCGGGACGUUGGCGGAAUUCGUGGUGUAGCGGUGAAAUGCUUAGAUAUCACGAAGAACUCCGAUUG